GAUGAACGCUGGCGGCGUGCCUAGUACAUGCAAGUCGAGCGAACGGACGAGAAGCUUGCUUCUCUGAUGUUAGCGGCGGACGGGUGAGUAACACGUGGAUAACCUACCUAUAAGACUGGAUAACUUCGGGAAACCGUAGCUAAUACCGGAUAAUAUUUUGAACCGCAUGGUUCAAAAGUGAAAGACGGUCUUGCUGUCACUUAUAGAUGGAUCCGCGCUGCAUUAGCUAGUUGGUAAGGUAACGGCUUACCAAGGCAACGAUGCAUAGCCGACCUGAGAGGGUGAUCGGCCACACUGGAACUGAGACACGGUCCAGACUCCUACGGGAGGCAGCAGUAGGGAAUCUUCCGCAAUGGGCGAAAGCCUGACGGAGCAACGCCGCGUGAGUGAUGAAGGUCUUCGGAUCGUAAAACUCUGUUAUUAGGGAAGAACAUAUGUGUAAGUAACUGUGCACAUCUUGACGGUACCUAAUCAGAAAGCCACGGCUAACUACGUG
rnacentral:rRNA from 1 species